rfam:Camelus ferus unplaced genomic scaffold scaffold322, whole genome shotgun sequence.
GAGGGUGUAGCUUAGUGGUAGAGCACAUGUUUAACAUGCACAAGGUUCUGGGUUCAAUCCCCAGUACCUCCA